rnacentral:rRNA from 1 species
UGGGGAAUUUUGGACAAUGGGCGCAAGCCUGAUCCAGCCAUGCCGCGUGCAGGAUGAAGGCCUUCGGGUUGUAAACUGCUUUUGUACGGAACGAAACGGCCUUUUCUAAUAAAGAGGGCUAAUGACGGUACCGUAAGAAUAAGCACCGGCUAACUACGUGCCAGCAGCCGCGGUAAUACGUAGGGUGCAAGCGUUAAUCGGAAUUACUGGGCGUAAAGCGUGCGCAGGCGGUUAUGUAAGACAGAUGUGAAAUCCCCGGGCUUAACCUGGGAACUGCAUUUGUGACUGCAUAGCUAGAGUACGGUAGAGGGGGAUGGAAUUCCGCGUGUAGCAGUGAAAUGCGUAGAUAUGCGGAGGAACACCGAUGGCGAAGGCAAUCCCCUGGACCUGUACUGACGCUCAUGCACGAAAGCGUGGGGAGCAAACAGGAUUAGAUACCCUGGUAGUCCACGCCCUAAACGAUGUCAACUGGUUGUUGGGUCUUCACUGACUCAGUAACGAAGCUAACGCGUGAAGUUGACCGCCUGGGGAGUACGGCCGCAAGGUUA